AUUAUCUGCAAGAGUCAAAACAAAUCGUCUAGAUCCCAGAAUGCCAUCUGGGAGCAUGUCAUUUUCAAAUGGCAAAGUUGUCUUCCUACUAAUUUUCACUGUAACCAGCGGAGGUAAAUGUAGGUACUUUUGAAAGCUGCAUUAACUCUUUCAGCCACAGGGUGUCAUUUAGUUCAAUAAAGUAGUUUUUAUGCAAUUUAAUAAUUGCCUCUGUGCACCCACCAGCAUCCCUGUGGCCUGAAAGAGUUAAUGCAUUUUUUUCAGAAGUACUGAAGAUACAUCUCCCUGUGAAGUGAAAUGGAAUAUUUGAUGGCUGAUAUUUUUAAUAGCACAAUGUAAAGGAAAGAGCUUCUAUAAGCAGACAAGCAGAAUGAUGUGGAGAUCCCAUCUCCUACCCAGAAAGACAGGGAGAAAAAGAAAAAGCAGCAGCUCAUGACCCAGAUAAGUGGAGUGAAGAAAUUAAUGCAUAGUUCAAGCCUAAACAAUACAAGCAUCUCACGCUUUGGAGUCAACACUGAAAAUGAAGAUCACCUGGCCAAGGAGCUGGAAGACCUGAACAAAUGGGGUCUUAACAUCUUUAAUGUGGCUGGAUAUUCUCACAAUAGACCCCUAACA
rnacentral:lncRNA from 10 species